GACGAACGCUGGCGGCGUGCCUAAUACAUGCAAGUUGAGCGAUGAAGAUUGGUGCUUGCACCAAUUUGAAGAGCAGCGAACGGGUGAGUAACGCGUGGGGAAUCUGCCUUUGAGCGGGGGACAACAUUUGGAAACGAAUGCUAAUACCGCAUAACAACUUUAAACAUAAGUUUUAAGUUUGAAAGAUGCAAUUGCAUCACUCAAAGAUGAUCCCGCGUUGUAUUAGCUAGUUGGUGAGGUAAAGGCUCACCAAGGCGAUGAUACAUAGCCGACCUGAGAGGGUAAUCGGCCACAUUGGGACUGAGACACGGCCCAAACUCCUACGGGAGGCAGCAGUAGGGAAUCUUCGGCAAUGGACGAAAGUCUGACCGAGCAACGCCGCGUGAGUGAAGAAGGUUUUCGGAUCGUAAAACUCUGUUGGUAGAGAAGAACGUUGGUGAGAGUGGAAAGCUCAUCAAGUGACGGUAACUACCCAGAAAGGGACGGCUAACUACGUG
rnacentral:rRNA from 1 species